AGAGUUUGAUCCUGGCUCAGGAUGAACGCUAGCUACAGGCUUAACACAUGCAAGUCGAGGGGAAACGACAUCGAAAGCUUGCUUUUGAUGGGCGUCGACCGGCGCACGGGUGAGUAACGCGUAUCCAACCUGCCCACCACUUGGGGAUAACCUUGCGAAAGUAAGACUAAUACCCAAUGACGUCUCUAGAAGACAUCUGAAAGAGAUUAAAGAUUUAUCGGUGAUGGAUGGGGAUGCGUCUGAUUAGCUUGUUGGCGGGGUAACGGCCACCAAGGCUACGAUCAGUAGGGGUUCUGAGAGGAACGGUCCCCACAUUGGAACUGAGACACGGUCCAACUCCAACGGGAGGCA
rnacentral:rRNA from 1 species